rnacentral:lncRNA from 1 species
AAUCCAAUUCAAUUGAACUUGAUCCAAAAAUAAUUACUCAAUCAAAUUGAGUUAAUUAGUGAUCAAAUCACUAAUAAAACUUCUCAUAAAUAUUGAGUCCAAAUUCGAUGGGCAAUCGGGUAUCAAAGUCCAUCAAUAUGAAACCUUAAUCGAAGAGUCCCAACCAGUGGGACUCUUGACCCCGGUAUCCAAAAUGUGUGGGACUUGUGAUUAGAGAAUCCUGAUUCUCGAUCAUAGAGUUUCAGACACGUAGGACUCAUAGUCCAUAAAUAUUAGGACUCAUCAUCAGCCAUC